ensembl:lncRNA
AGCCGCCUCUCCCUCUGCCGACUGCCUGCCUGCCUGCCUGCCUGCCUGUGCCAAGAAGCCUACCCGAAUCGAGGGAAGAGAGAACGAUGCCCGGGAGCGCCUUAACUUCACGCCGGGCGCAAGGGCGGAAGGGGGCCGAUUGGUUGACAGCCGGCUGCCUUGCCUUAAGGAGCAGGGCGUCUGAUGUCAGUGAGUGGGGCGGUUUCGUUGGGGGCGAGAGGCCUGGCCGACCUUGCGAGGGUCUUCCCCACGCCCCUGGUGCAUUUCAACGUGCGGCGAGGGUGAGGGGUGUGGAGAUCACGCUGGCGAGUGCCCCAGGCCCCUGCAGACCAGGCCGCUUUCUCCCCCUGGGGGUGCCAGAGAAGGGCAGAGCGUUGCUGUUACGGCAGGUGUCCGCCAGACGGCGCCAAAGCGCCGGCAGAGCUGCUCUGGCUCUGCCUGGCUGCAACUCCAGGCUCAGAAUGGGCCUGGAGCAGGAUGGAAGGAAACGCAAGGAGGGCCCAGACAGAGCCUUGUGUUGGUGUACCGGGUACCUGUGACGCUGUGGCCGUUUUGUGUCAACAUGCAGUCUGUGCCCCAGCAACUGGAGCGCUGGACGGGCCGUCGAGGGCCUGCGUGCCCUUUGCUCCUUGGGGGCACGGCGCUGGGACCCAGGAGGACCCGGCUUGAGUCCUGGACAUGCGGAUUUCUAGAGUCAGGCAGGGGAGGCAUCCGGCCUCUGGAAGGCUGGGCUUCAGAGCCGCCUCUCCCUCUGCCGACUGCCUGCCUGCCUGCCUGCCUGCCUGCCUGCCUGCCUGUGCCAAGAAGCCUACCCGAAUCGAGGGAAGAGAGAACGAUGCCCGGGAGCGCCUUAACUUCACGCCGGGCGCAAGGGCGGAAGGGGGCCGAUUGGUUGACAGCCGGCUGCCUUGCCUUAAGAGCAGGGCGUCUGAUGUCAGUGAGUGGGGCGGUUUCGUUGGGGGCGAGAGGCCUGGCCGACCUUGCGAGGGUCUUCCCCACGCCCCUGGUGCAUUUCAACGUGCGGCGAGGGUGAGGGGUGUGGAGAUCACGCUGGCGAGUGCCCCAGGCCCCUGCAGACCAGGCCGCUUUCUCCCCCUGGGGGUGCCAGAGAAGGGCAGAGCGUUGCUGUUACGGCAGGUGUCCGCCAGACGGCGCCAAAGCGCCGGCAGAGCUGCUCUGGCUCUGCCUGGCUGCAACUCCAGGCUCAGAAUGGGCCUGGAGCAGGAUGGAAGGAAACGCAAGGAGGGCCCAGACAGAGCCUUGUGUUGGUGUACCGGGUACCUGUGACGCUGUGGCCGUUUUGUGUCAACAUGCAGUCUGUGCCCCAGCAACUGGAGCGCUGGACGGGCCGUCGAGGGCCUGCGUGCCCUUUGCUCCUUGGGGGCACGGCGCUGGACCCAGGAGGACCCGGCUUGAGUCCUGGACAUGCGGAUUUCUAGAGUCAGGCAGGGGAGGCAUCCGGCCUCUGGAAGGCUGGGCUUCAGGUAGUGAAGGCGGUGUGUCACUGCGGUGGUAUCUGGGGAGGCGUGCCGAGCCUCUCCGUGUGCGCGUCCCCUCCAGAAAUCUCCACAUCCCCCUGCUUCUCUCUCCACCAGAGCCGCCUCUCCCUCUGCCGACUGCCUGCCUGCCUGCCUGCCUGCCUGCCUGUGCCAAGAAGCCUACCCGAAUCGAGGGAAGAGAGAACGAUGCCGGGAGCGCCUUAACUUCACGCCGGGCGCAAGGCGGAAGGGGGCCGAUUGGUUGACAGCCGGCUGCCUUGCCUUAAGAGCAGGGCGUCUGAUGUCAGUGAGUGGGGCGGUUUCGUUGGGGGCGAGAGGCCUGGCCGACCUUGCGAGGGUCUUCCCCACGCCCCUGGUGCAUUUCAACGUGCGGCGAGGGUGAGGGGUGUGGAGAUCACGCUGGCGAGUGCCCCAGGCCCCUGCAGACCAGGCCGCUUUCUCCCCUGGGGUGCCAGAGAAGGGCAGAGCGUUGCUGUUACGGCAGGUGUCCGCCAGACGGCGCCAAAGCGCCGGCAGAGCUGCUCUGGCUCUGCCUGGCUGCAACUCCAGGCUCAGAAUGGGCCUGGAGCAGGAUGGAAGGAAACGCAAGGAGGGCCCAGACAGAGCCUUGUGUUGGUGUACCGGGUACCUGUGACGCUGUGGCCGUUUUGUGUCAACAUGCAGUCUGUGCCCCAGCAACUGGAGCGCUGGACGGGCCGUCGAGGGCCUGCGUGCCCUUUGCUCCUUGGGGGGCACGGCGCUGGGACCCAGGAGGACCCGGCUUGAGUCCUGGACAUGCGGAUUUCUAG